AUACGUAGGUGGCAAGCGUUGUCCGGAAUUACUGGGUGUAAAGGGCGUGUAGGCGGAGCAGCAAGUCAGAAGUGAAAUCUCCGGGCUUAACCCGGAAACUGCUUUUGAAACUGUUGCCCUUGAGUAUCGGAGAGGCAGGCGGAAUUCCUAGUGUAGCGGUGAAAUGCGUAGAUAUUAGGAGGAACACCAGUGGCGAAGGCGGCCUGCUGGACGACAACUGACGCUGAGGCGCGAAAGCGUGGGGAGCAAACAGGAUUAGAUACCCUGGUAGUCCACGCCGUAAACGAUGGAUACUAGGUGUGGGGGGACUGACCCCCUCCGUGCCGCAGUCAACACAAUAAGUAUCCCACCUGGGGAGUACGAUCGCAAGAUUGAAACUCAAAUGAAUUGACGG
rnacentral:rRNA from 1 species